AACUAACGCUGGCGGCAGGCUUAACACAUGCAAGUCGAACGCCCCGCAAGGGGAGUGGCAGACGGGUGAGUAACGCGUGGGAAUCUACCGUACCCUACGGAAUAACGCAUGGAAACGUGUGCUAAUACCGUAUACGCCCUACGGGGGAAAGAUUUAUCGGGGUAUGAUGAGCCCGCGUUGGAUUAGCUAGUUGGUGGGGUAAAGGCCUACCAAGGCGACGAUCCAUAGCUGGUCUGAGAGGAUGAUCAGCCACAUUGGGACUGAGACACGGCCCAAACUCCUACGGGAGGCAGCAGUGGGGAAUAUUGGACAAUGGGCGCAAGCCUGAUCCAGCCAUGCCGCGUGAGUGAUGAAGGCCCUAGGGUUGUAAAGCUCUUUCACCGAUGAAGAUAAUGACGGUAGUCGGAGAAGAAGCCCCGGCUAACUUCGUGCCAGCCGCCGCUGUAAAAC
rnacentral:rRNA from 1 species